rnacentral:rRNA from 1 species
ACGGGGGGGGCAAGCGUUGUUCGGAUUUAUUGGGCGUAAAGGGUGCGUAGGCGGUUUGGCAAGUCUUGUGUGAAAUCUUCGGGCUCAACCCGAAGCCUGCACAAGAAACUGCCGGGCUUGAGUAUGGGAGAGGUGAGUGGAAUUUCCGGUGUAGCGGUGAAAUGCGUAGAUAUCGGAAGGAACACCAGUGGCGAAAGCGGCUUCCUGGUCCAGCACCGACGCUCAGGCACGAAAGCGUGGGGAGCGAUCGGGA